rnacentral:lncRNA from 1 species
AAGCCCAAAUCCAAGGACCCCCUGGGGGCAGACAAACAGGAUGACCUUGCAGACAAGCUCACCUCCCUCUUCUAUGGGGUGGUGACCCCCAUGCUCAACCCCAUUAUCUACAGCCUGAGGAACAAGGAUGUGAAGGUGGCUGUGAGGAGCCUGGUGAGUCAGAAACACUUCACCCAGUGAUGUUUGGAAGACAGAUGUCCCUGUAGUUCUGUGCCUCUUUCCUGUUUUCACCCAUGAAUCUCAGAAGAAUGUGUCUCCCAAAGAAGAUAUACAUAAAGAGUGAUUAGCAAAAGAUGGAAUUACACAUGUAUUACAUUGAAUUAUACAGAAUUUUAUCUGUUACUCGACCUAAUUUUCAAAAACAAUGAAACCUCUAACCUGAUGGGAGUGUGACUUGAGGGGAUGGAAGUAGAAUGCUUCUGAAAUCAAUUAGCGAUUUUCCUGCUACUCUACUGGGCAAGUCUGAAUUCACUUUGAGGGCAGGUUGCUCCUUCUGAGAAAAGCAGCUUAGUACACCUAUGUGUUAAAUAAAGAUUCAAAAUCCUACUCUUAAAAGGAAGCACUGAAGACAGUGUGGGGUGAAAUUUCAUGACCUAGCAGUUAAAAAAAAAUAAUCUUCAUUAGAGGUGAAACGGCACAUCUUCAAAUUUUGUUUUUCUUGGAGGCAGAGCUGAGACUGGAGAUGGGAAUGAAGUUGGCUUUCUUCCUUUCUUCAAGACUCAGAAGACUUGGAACCAUGUAAAUUCCACAUAGGGCAUUUGCUCUGAGGGCAAGGCAGGUGGAUCCUGCAAUACAUGUGUGGAGGGUCUUGGCCUGGGAGCUCUCAUAGCUGGUGUCUGGUUUUAAGCUUUGUUUUCCUGCCCUCAGUAAGUCUUGAGUACACAAUCUGGUCCUGUAUGUAGUCUGGAGAGUUAAGGAUGGAUAUAUGGGGAGAGCAGAGCAGGGGCGCACAGCAAUCUUCAGGGGGUCUGGGGUCAGGAUGGCGAGACGUGACCAGGAGAAGAUGGAGAAGGUGGCUGUCGGAGGACAAGUGAAAUGAUAAAACUGAAAGGCGGAGCCAGUUCACCGGGCACCUGAUGAGAGGUCCAGAGGUAAAAUGUGGGAGCAUCUCAAUCAGUAGUGAAACUUUUUCCUGAGAAUCAAAAUGUUCUAAUGAAAACAAAUGCUCUCAGCCAGCCAUGCUUGGUCAUCCUGGGCUCCUCUUGUGCGAUACUCUCUUGGGUCACAGUGGCCUCCUGCUCAUCUUGGGCAGAAAUGCAGACCGUGGCUACUGCCCGUGUGGCCCCUUCAACAGUCUCUCCGACUGUGGGGGCACAGGGGCAUGUUGCUGUUUCACCCUUUCAGACUCAGUAUUAUCUGUCCCACCCUGUGUGCCUCUGCCUUUCUCUAUUGAGCAGAGAUCCCACCUAAGCCCUUCCUAGCUCACUGUAGGAGGAGGACAUCAACUUGGGAUCAAGCCUGACCUUGAUAAAUCAGGAGCCAACUUUAAAAUGAAACGUACUUGUAGAGCAAAAUUUCCUUUCAACAUACUUCACUUCACUAGUUUUGGCUUAAAGAAAUGUUCCUAGUUCUGACCAUGCCCCCCUCCCCAUCUUUCUAUAAGACAGAAGAAUGUGUUCCUCUAGUUGCUGAAAGUGCUGCUGGAAGACAGCCUUCAGCUGUCAGCUCCAGGAAUUAGCUAAAGGGGGCUCUUAGCUGAAGAGAGCCGACUCACCCAAGGUCAUGCUCCCUUGCCCAGGGAAGCCCAUAUCCAAUGACUGAUUGAUGUAGGAUAUGGAAUUCCCAUUGUGGUGCAUCAGAAAUGAAUCUGAAGGGGAACCAUAAGGUUGCAGGUUCAAUCCCUGGCCUUGUUCAGUGGAUUAAGGAUAUGGCAUUGCCGUGAGCUAUGGUGUAGGUCACAGACACGGCUCAGAUCCAGCGUGGCUAUGGCUGUGGCGGGCAGCUGUAGCUCCGAUUGGAUCCCUAGCCUGGGAACCUCCAUAUACUACAGGUGUGGCACUAAAAAGAAAAAAAAAAAAAAAAAAGGAUAUAAAUGUCUUGUUCCCACUAGGACAACUCUGAAGGGCCACCCCAGUACCAGUACCAGAGUCCCCCAGGUUUGACUGAAGCCUACAUCAAAGCCCAACUUCUGCCUCUGCCCAAUCCUCCUUCCUUAUCUUCCCUUCCACCAGUACUGAUCCCCAGAGCAUUAGGGAAUAAGCUCCCUGCACCCCAGGCUCCAUCUCAGAGUUUGCUUCCUGGCAAAACCAAAUUGGAACACCAUGUAAAGUCUAAUGCUCAAAUAACAUGUGUUCUCCUUCCAGAAUCAUGGACACUGGCAAUGCUUAACAAAUGUCAUGUAGAUUGGUUGGGUGAGAAGUACAGUGUUGUGUUAAUAAGAAGCUUCGGAACCAGACCUUGGCUAGCUCCUCUCUUUAUCAUGGUUGUAUCUUGAAGUUUAUUUUAUAUUGUAUAUAACUUCUCUGAAAUCUUCCAACACCCUACCCUGUCUACCUCUCUAGUUUAGUGUUCCCCAAUCUUUUUCUUGCCUUGAAACACACAGAAAAUAAAGGGAUUUGUAU